rnacentral:rRNA from 1 species
UACGGGGGGGGCAAGCGUUGUUCGGAAUUAUUGGGCGUAAAGGGCGCGUAGGCGGUGCGGUAAGUCUGUAGUGAAAUCUCUGGGCUCAACUCAGAGUCUGCUGCAGAAACUGCCGUGCUUGAGUGUGGGAGAGGUGAGUGGAAUUCCCGGUGUAGCGGUGAAAUGCGUAGAGAUCGGGAAGAACGCCGGCGGCGAAAGCGACUCUCUGGUCGGAAUCUGACGCUGAGGUGCGAAAGCUAGGGGAGCAAACGGG